rnacentral:rRNA from 1 species
AAUUCUAGAGCUAAUACAUGCUGACGAGCGCUGACCUCCGGGGAUGCGUGCAUUUAUCAGACCAAAAACCUAACCGGGCUUGCCCCGGCCGCUUUGGUGACUCUGGAUAACCUCGAGCCGAUCGCACGUCCCUGUGGCGGCGACGACUCAUUCGAAUGUCUGCCCUAUCAACUUUCGAUGGUACUUUCUGCGCCUACCAUGGUGAUAACGGGUAACGGGGAAUCAGGGUUCGAUUCCGGAGAGGGAGCCUGAGAAACGGCUACCACAUCCAAGGAAGGCAGCAGGCGCGCAAAUUACCCACUCCC